UACGUAGGGUGCAAGCGUUGUCCGGAAUUAUUGGGCGUAAAGAGCUCGUAGGCGGUUUGUCGCGUCUGCUGUGGAAACUCGGGGCUUAACUCCGGGCCUGCAGUGGGUACGGGCAGACUAGAGUGCGGUAGGGGAGACUGGAAUUCCUGGUGUAGCGGUGAAAUGCGCAGAUAUCAGGAGGAACACCGGUGGCGAAGGCAGCCUUCUGGGCCAACACUGACGCUCAUGCACGAAAGCGUGGGGAGCAAACAGG
rnacentral:rRNA from 1 species